rnacentral:rRNA from 1 species
UGGGGAAUAUUGCACAAUGGGGGAAACCCUGAUGCAGCAACGCCGCGUGAGUGAAGAAGCAUUUCGGUGCGUAAAGCUCUGUCAGCGGGGAAGAAGGAAGACGGUACCCGACCAAGAAGCCCCGGCUAACUACGUGCCAGCAGCCGCGGUAAUACGUAGGGGGCGAGCGUUAUCCGGAAUUACUGGGUGUAAAGGGAGCGUAGACGGCGCAUUAAGCCUGAAGUGGAAGCCCGGGGCCCAACCCCGGAACUGCUUUGGGAACUGGAGUGCUUGAGUAUGGGAGGGGUAAGCGGAAUUCCUGGUGUAGCGGUGAAAUGCGUAGAUAUCAGGAGGAACACCGGUGGCGAAGGCGGCUUACUGGACCAUAACUGACGUUGAGGCUCGAAAGCGUGGGUAGCGAACAGG